rnacentral:rRNA from 1 species
UACGUAGGGUGCGAGCGUUGUCCGGAAUUAUUGGGCGUAAAGAGCUUGUAGGUGGCUCGUCGCGUCGGGAGUGAAAACCCGCGGCUUAACCGCGGGCCUGCUUUCGAUACGGGCGGGCUAGAGUUCGGCAGGGGAGACUGGAAUUCCUGGUGUAGCGGUGGAAUGCGCAGAUAUCAGGAGGAACACCGGUGGCGAAGGCGGGUCUCUGGGCCGAUACUGACACUGAGGAGCGAAAGUGUGGGGAGCGAACAGG